rnacentral:rRNA from 1 species
UACAGAGGGUGCGAGCGUUAAUCGGAAUUACUGGGCGUAAAGCGUGCGUAGACGGUAAUGUAAGUCCGCUGUGAAAGUCCAGGGCUCAACCCUGGAAUGCCGGUGGAAACUGUCGAGCUAGAGUCCGGAAGAGGCGAGUGGAAUUCCUGGUGUAGCGGUGAAAUGCGCAGAUAUCAGGAGGAACACCGGUGGCGAAGGCGGGUCUCUGGCCCGAUACUGACGCUGAGGAGCGAAAGCGUGGGGAGCGAACAGG